rnacentral:rRNA from 1 species
CGCGUAGGCUGUCGAGUAAGUCGGACGUGAAAGCCCCUGGCUCAACUGGGGGAGGUCGUUCGAUACUGCUCGGCUUGAGGGUAAGAGGGGGAAGUGGAAUUCCCGGUGUAGCGGUGGAAUGCGUAGAGAUCGGGAGGAACACCAGUGGCGAAGGCGGCUUCCUGGCUUACCCCUGACGCUGAGAGCGCGAAAGCGUGGGGAGCAAACGGGAUUAGAUACCCCGGUAGUCCACGCCUUAAACGAUGAGGGCUGGGUGUUGGUGGGAUUUCCCAUCUGUGCCGAAGCUAACGCGUUAAGCCCUCCGCCUGGGGACUACGAACGCAAGUUUAAA